AUACCUGUUCUGUAUGAUAUUCAACACAUUGCGUAAGAGCAACAUGUGUAUACAUUAUGGCGUCUGUCUUCUGUAUCGCGCAUGUAAUUAUGCAUGGAUUGCUACGUCUUUAUCAUACGUAGGCUAUUGUCUGCGCUAUUUAAUAAUUAGGCCUACACACUGCGUAGGCCUACUGCAACUGCAUGGAUUAUUGUUGAGGUCUAUUUAAUGACACGUCUGGUCUGGUAAAAGUAUCCCAUGUAAUUCACAUCAAUAUUUUUAUCCCGCUGUGUUUCUACUUGACAUUCUCCUUUCGAACCGAUCAAGAAGUAAUAUCUAGACUAUUCUAUAGUAGCGUUAAAGAAUUUGUGUUUCAGAGUUGACUUUCUAUAUCCACUAGGUGGCAUCAGUUACCUUGGCUAGUUGGCUUAUCCGGUAAAGUUUGACCCGGAAGUGAUAGCGUUGGCGUUGGUUAGAAUUAUUUUUUUUAAAAAAAUGUUUCUUACGUGUGCGUGUGUUUGUGUGUAUCUGACUGUGGACCAAGCUACGUGCUCCUUGGAUGGUAUGUGGACUUUAUUAGCGAAAUACAAAGGACAUACUGUUUCUCUGGUCAGGGAAGAAGAAAAAGAAGAGGAAGAAGAUAGAGCUACUCCUGCGACUAUGAUGGUGUUGGGAUAGCAGAACUUUCUGUGCUCUCACGGUCCGUGGCGGUGGUUCUGGCAGCAAUUACCAGCUGAGUUCACACAGUGUCGUGGAAGAAUUGGCUGUGGACAUGUGAGAACUGGACACGGGCAGACAUAUCAAUGCCACGCCAUCUGCAUACCAGUGCCAUCUUUUCUGUCCUCCAGCAACGUCAUCAUGGAAUCUCAUAAAUAUGGUGAUAUGGCAGCGGAGUGGACGUGUGGGAUCUGGAGAUGAGAUCGCAAUCUCCAACAUCUCUAGCUACGUUUUCUGCUGAGAGAGAGAGAGAGAUGGGCCAAACACACUUGAAUUCCACGGUGGCUGAGGCCAAGGUCACAGUGGAUAAAGUAGACCCCAGGACAUGAAAAUACAAGCACCAGAAGCUGCACAUUGUAAACAGUAGCCAACUCAUAUUUUGGCAAGCUAAUGGCAUGCUCAGCCGUCACUUCCAGCGAGGGCACAGUGCAAAGUGACACUAUGCACUAAAGACCUCAGUGCACUGUGUGCACUAUGCACUGACUGUCAGUGCACUGACAAAAGUGCGCCAUUUGAGACAUAGCCCUUGAAUCUGAUUGCUACCCCCACCCCCCCUCCCCCAACCUUCAACGCCGACUGAUUGACUCUGAUUGCUACCCCCAC